rnacentral:hammerhead_ribozyme from 1 species
AUCCAGCUGACCAGUCCCAAAUAGGACGAAAUAUGCGUUCCGGAU